AUUGAACGCUGGCGGCAGGCCUAACACAUGCAAGUCGAGCGGAGCGGCGGACGGGCGCGUAAUGCCUAGGCAUCUGCCUGGUAGUGGGGGAUAUCGUCCGGAACCGGGCGCUAAUCCCGCAUACUAUCAGAUGAGCCUAGGUCGGAUUAGCUAGUUGGUGGGGUAAAGGCAUACCAAGGCGAAGCUCCGUAACUGGUCGGAGAGGAUGAUCAGUCACACUGGAACUGAGACACGGUCCAGACUCCUACGGGAGGCAGCAGUGGGGAAUAUUGGACAAUGGGCGAAAGCCUGAUCCAGCCAUGCCGCGUGUGUGAAGAAGGGCUUCGGAUUGUAAAGCACUUUAAGUUGGGAGGCGUUACCAACAGAAUAAGCACCGGCUAACUUCGUGCCAGCAGCCGCGGUAAUUC
rnacentral:rRNA from 1 species